rnacentral:misc_RNA from 2 species
AACGCACAUUGCGCCCUUUGGUAUUCCGAAGGGCAUGCCUGUUCGAGCGUCAUUAUCAACCCUCAAGACUACUUUGCGGUGGUUUUGGUGUUGGACGGUUUGGUUGAGCGCUCGCUUAAACCCCUCCUAAAGACAAUGACGGCGGACUUGUGGAACCCCCGGUACACUGAGCUUCUUAACUGAGCAUGUAUCGGAUUAAGGGUGCGCGAGCCCCGGUCUACUCCCUUGAAUGGGAAAAUCUUUCUCAAGGUUGACCUCGGAUCAGGUAGGGAUACCCGCUGAACUUAA